rnacentral:rRNA from 1 species
UGGGGAAUAUUGGACAAUGGGGGGAACCCUGAUCCAGCCAUGCCGCGUGUGUGAAGAAGGCCUUAUGGUUGUAAAGCACUUUAAGCGAGGAGGAGGGUACUGGUAUUAAUACUACCAGGUACUGGACGUUACUCGCAGAAUAAGCACCGGCUAACUCUGUGCCAGCAGCCGCGGUAAUACAGAGGGUGCGAGCGUUAAUCGGAUUUACUGGGCGUAAAGCGUGCGUAGGCGGCUAAUUGAGUCGGAUGUGAAAUCCCCGAGCUUAACUUGGGAAUUGCAUUCUAUACUGGUUAGCUAGAGUGUGGUAGAGGAUGGUAGAAUUCCAGGUGUAGCGGUGAAAUGCGUAGAGAUCUGGAGGAAUACCGAUGGCGAAGGCAGCCAUCUGGCAUAACACUGCCGCUGAGGUACGAAAGCAUGGGGAGCAAACAGG